rnacentral:rRNA from 1 species
UACGUAGGGACCGGGCGUUGUCCGGAAUCAUUGGGCGUAAAGAGCGUGUAGGCGGCCACUUAAGUCUUGCGUGAAAUCUCGGGGCUCAACCCCGAGCGGUCGUGAGAAACUGGCAGGCUAGAGUGCGGGAGAGGAAGAUGGAAUUCCCGGUGUAGCGGUGAAAUGUGUAGAGAUCGGGAGGAACACCGGUGGCGAAGGCGGUCUUCUGGACGGUGACUGACGCUGAGGCGCGAAAGCGUGGGGAGCAAACGGG